GAGGCCCAGGCCGUGGAGGGAGGCGGGGGCAGCCCGAGGUGACAGAACCCGCGGGCCCCGCGAGGGGACAGCGGCGCGGGCGUGUGUCGGCCAGGAGCCGGCCGGCAGACCCAGAGCGCGCGCGCCGGAAUGGGAUUGCUUUUCACCGACGGGGAAGCGAGCGGGACUGAUCAGCGGUCGGUUUUUCAGGUUCUGGGUUCUGGGUCUUAAUAUUUAUGCAGAGGUGACCGAAAGCCUUGAGCAUGGGAGGAAAAUCUAGAGGAUAUAUGGCUAUCAGCCUAGAACCAGAGAGAACCACCUGACCAGUACCUGGAAAGAAACAUGCAUGCUGGAUGUUAUGCAUUAUGUUCUGAUGGAUUGUACUGAUGGACCCUGUACUUAGGCCAUGUGAAUACACAGAGACAAAUAAGAAAAACAUCAUGUGAAAAUAGAGAUUGGAGUGAUGGGUAUCUCCCAGCCAAGAAAUGCCAAGUAACCACCAGAAGCAAGAAGAGAGGCAUAGAGAGUAGAUUCUCCCUCAGAACCUCCUGAGGGCAUCAAACUGCCAACACCUUGAUUUUGGACUUCAGCCUCCAGAAUUGUGAGAGAAUACAUUUCUGAUGUUUUAAGCCACCCAGUAUGUGGUACAGAGGUAGGUACAUUGCUGCAAAAAGUAUAAUAGGCUUUUAAUGCAGUAGCUGUGGCAUCUGUGACCAGGGUGAUUGCCAGGAUUGACUUAGAGAUCUAGCAUCUUAGCCGAGAGUUCCCUUUCCCUGAGAGCUCUGUAUGUGUCCUUCCCAAAGUAUCAAUGCAAUCAAAAAGAAUGACAUUUGCAAACUGACAAAGUCUAUUCUCAAUCAAGAUAUACAGGGAGUUAUACUCCCUGGCUAGAUCUUUCCAAUAAA